AGCGAACGCUGGCGGCAGGCUUAACGCAUGCAAGUCGAGCGGGCAUCCUUGUGGUGUCAGCGGCAGACGGGUGAGUAACGCGUGGGAACGUGCCCUUCGGUUCGGAAUAACUCAGGGAAACUUGAGCUAAUACCGGAUACGUGCGAGAGCAGAAAGGUUUAUCUGCCGAAGGAUCGGCCCGCGUCUGAUUAGCUAGUUGGUGAGGUUAUGGCUCACCAAGGCGACGAUCAGUAGCUGGUCUGAGAGGAUGAUCAGCCACACUGGGACUGAGACACGGCCCAGACUCCUACGGGAGGCAGCAGUGGGGAAUAUUGGACAAUGGGGGCAACCCUGAUCCAGCCAUGCCGCGUGAGUGAUGACGGCCUUAGGGUUGUAAAGCUCUUUUCUUCGGGACGAUAAUGACGGUACCGGAGGAAUAAGCCCCGGCUAACUUCGUG
rnacentral:rRNA from 1 species